CUUUGAUAUAUAAACUAUGUAGAAGACGAAAUCUCUGGAUCUCAAUGGUUUCAUCAUAGACUUUUUGUUGAAGAUGUUGACGUAUCAUUUAUUUUUAUGAAGUAAUAUUGUUAGAAGGCAUUAAGAAGAUUCAAAUAGAACAUAGUGACAAAAGGUUGAUUUGCUAGCUUCAUUAUUUAUGUUAUGCCAAACAAUCACUUUAAUCUUACUUUACUAACGGUGUAGCAUUUCAGUAUGCUACAUUUGUAUGACAGGAAAAAAUGUGGAUCACAGAGAUUAGGUAAUGCUUGUCAAAUUGUUACUCUCUGAGUGGAGGACAGUAUAUAUAGGAAGUGGCGUUAACAUACUGACAAAGAGUAGAAUUAAGAAAAGUUCAUAGCCCUGCUUUCUUUUGCUUGUAAAGGAGUCAGUGGAUAUGUCCUACCCUUUGUAGCCAAUAUACCAGGGACAGACUUUAAAGCUUCACCUGAUUCACAAUAACUUUUGGUGUAAAGGGCCUCAACUUUUUACAAAGUAGUAUAGAAUAGUACUUUUGAGGGAUGUGCAGUGUUGUGCAAAUUAUCUUGUCACUGAACUUGCUGUAGCUCAAGGAACUGGAAUUUGAUAUUAUAGGUUAACCAUAUACAGAUUUUUUGUGUCAGUUUAAUGUCUUAGAUUUAAAAACUGCAUUGCAAAAUAUAAAGUUAAGGGAAGGGGAGGUAUCCAGUCAUCACAACCAUUUUCUUCUCGUUGUCAUGUUAUCUUUCCUCCCUUGUAAAGUACUUUGUUAUGUUUUGUUCUACCAUGUGUAUGUGAGUUUGGCAAAGCAUAGCUACUCUAAAAUCCGGAUAAAAGAGGAGGUUUGAAGUAGGCUACCCAUAUGAAAGUAGUCUUAACUAUGUUGAAUCCUUGAAAACUAGGAUAUAGAGGAUUUCAUAAAGCGUACCCAACUAAUUUGGGAUUUAAGGACAGUUGAUUGAUUUUCAUGUUUUCUUUGUCCAAAAACCUUAUAACUAUGUAUGUGGCAAUAUAUUUCUUUGUCCAAAAACCACAGUAAUGCCGGUAGCACCAUCAUUGUCCUUUUAUUUCAAGUGUCCUUCUAUUUCGUAGAACUCCCGGCCUAAUUGUUUAAAGUAUAUAUCUGCCUACCUCGUAACAAACAUGACUAUUCUUAAAUUUGGUUCCUUCUAUUUCAGGUGGCUAGUAAAGAAAAUCAAUGGCAUCUAAAGGUAAUGUUAAUGGACGACGUAAGAAAAGUAAUAAAGGACCUGAUAAUCUUCCUACAGGUCAAUAUACACUACCACCACCACUACAUGUUACCACAACUCUUCAUCCAGCUACUACAAAUAUUCCUCCCCCUUUUAGAUCAACUAUGUUACUACCAAAUGCAUUUUUCAUGCCUCCACCGUCUGACCAGUUCCACACCUCUUUAUCCCAAAAUAGUCUGCAUAGUAGCUCUUCAUCUGUUCCUUCGACAUCAUCCGUACCAAGUAUUUCUGGAUUGAGAGUUAGAGUUCCUAACACACCAACAUUGCCAUCCAUUUAUAGUGCUACAACGCCUAAUGCUACAGCAGUUGCUUCUCAAAAUUUGCAAUUUAAAGAGGUAUUAGAAUAUGACAAUGUUGGGAGGCUACGAAUUGCCCCUUAUUGUGAUGGCUAAGUAACCCUUAAAAUUUUCCUUAAUUUUUAAAAGCUAAGAUGAUGGUUUAAUAUAAUUUUAUUGCAGGUUCUCCAGCAUUUGCCACCGGGCAUAUGGUUAUAGAAGCAAUUAAACCAUUUUUCAAAAAACCGUGGAAUAGUUGGUUAGAGAUUCCAUGGGAAAUUAAAAUUGUCAUGUUGGAGAUAGUUUAUGGUAUAAGCAGUUUUAUAAGCUAUGAAUCUCAUUGCCUAAAGAUAGUUUUUCCAUUUUAUCCAUCAACUCAUUUUAUGGCUUUAUAUUAAAAUAUUUUACAUACAAAGUGUUCAUGGAGUAAUUGUCAUGCUAAUGAAAUAGACCGCAUUUUUCGGUUGAAAACAACUUUACAGAUCAAAGAACACUUGUAUGAGGCCCGGAGGAAAUUGGUAAAACCUGGUUGGUUGAAUGAUGAAGUGUGGACUCAGUUCUAGAUAUUAUAGGAUCGAGCUUCUAAAACGGGUGGCUCGCGCCACACCGGAGGUUCGAUGAGUUUCCUACCUACCAAUGCAGACUCGUUCUAUUCUUGUCCAACCCUUUUUUCCAUUUACACGUGAUACUUUGAGUAAAUAAUUUGUUGUUAUUGUCGAAUUUGUGUCUUCUGUAGCUGCAAUUAAGCUAACUAGAAGUCUAAAUUUAGUUUUUAUUAAUACCCUACAGAUUAAGCAUUUAACUAUAAAGUUUGAACUCUGAUAAUGCAUAGUGCUUACUAGUCGAGUUUCUUGUUUCUUUUGGCUGAUAAAGUUUCCCAAUUAACCUAACUAGAAGUCUUUAAACAUUAGAUAAAUAGGGCAUACGGGGCUUUCGUACUGGAAGUCUUUAACAGUAACUGGAAUUCUUUAACUAGAAGAGUCUCAUUCCACAUGCAAAAACAAUGCAGGUAGUAGCAAAUAGUUCAUCACAAAAGAUUUCCUGAGUUCAUUUACUCACCCUUAUCUAAACGAAGCUACUGUGUCCUCAUCCUGCUAGUUUUUGCGGCCCUCACUUGCGAUAAAUAUGGAUGGGCCUAAGAAACAAGACAGAGAAAGCAGUUAGUAGGUUUCCCAACAAAGCCACAUGAUGAAUAAAAGAUGUUAAACACGCAAAUAUACGGUGUACAGUACUCUAGUUGUGCAAAAUAAACCAGAUACAUACAUAAUGAAGUAGAUAGACUCCAGCAAAAAUACAGAUGAAAAUACUAUAACAAUGUAAAUAACAUAGCCAAGAUCAGAAAGAGAAAGUAAUAAGCACACUUCACAAUCACCAGCUUGCUUCUAACAAUAUUUUAAAACAAAUAACUCAAGUCAGUUGCGCCUCUUCUACUCACUCCUCCUCACUGAUCUUUUUCAUGGAUCUCAUUUAUAUUCCUUAUAUUUUGGUUUUAGUAAAGUAUGUUAUAAGCUGACAUCCUUUUUUGGUCUGAACAUUCUAGCAUGUUUGCUCUACAAAAGAAGUUGCGUAAAAGGAACUAAAAGUAUCUGAAAAGUAAUAAAAAUAAAAAAUAUUUGCCUCUACAGUUUCUUGUUCACUGCAUAGUGUUAUUUAAUACCAAGUAUUGUAAGAAUUUCUGAUAGUGAACUGUAUCUACAUACAUCUCUAUGUGAUUUUAUUGAACUGUAUCUCAUAUUCUCAUCAUGAUGUUCAACCAAAGACCACUUAAUUUUCAAAUAAAGUAGAGAGAGUUCUUAUCGAGCAUGUCAAUGAGUCGAGAUGUGAGUUCAAUUUAUGUUAUGUCUAGUCUAAGUACGUAUCUAUGCUAUUACGUUAGAGCUAAACUUAUUCUGAUCUAGUGUACGCCCACUCAUGUUUGUUCGUGCUUACUCAUAAAGUUGGGAUCUCCAGAAAGUUUACUGUCUUCUCCUCUCCUGCUUCAGUUUGAGGUGAUAGGUAAAGAUACUGAAUUUGAUUCAUCCAUAGCUAUUAUGAGUACUGGAAAGACAAUGCUACUAUAGUGGUACACUAGCACAUAUUUUCACACAUUAAUGCUCCAGAGGAAUGAUUGAUCUGUCGAAAUAAUUUUUACUAUGCAUUGGGUUAAGUCUCUGAACAUUGGUUAAUGCUUAAUAGACCAUUGAAAAAACUGGUUGUCGUUGUUGGCUAUUGCUGGAUGAUGUUUAUCAACUUCGAUAGGUACUGCUGCUAUCAUGUCAUGCGUAGGGUACACAAUGAAAAUUCUUAAAUGGGGGAGUAGAUGUACCUCUUCCUAAGUCCUGUGAAGAGACACAUAAGAAGAAAAAGCCGGACGAUACAAGAAAAGAAUGGGUUGAACUGCGUGCUAAGGAUGCAUAUGAAGGAUUUCAAAAAAGCAUUGAAGAUUGGCGUCAAACUCAACCUACUUCAGAGGAUGGUACCAUGGUCCAACCACCGCCUGCUGAUAUGACUAGAAUAUGGACAACUGUGGUAGGUGGUCUAAAGAAGGAUAAAACCUACGGGCUUGGAGUUAACCCAUCCUCGAGUAGUUCUUCCCUAAUGUUGCCGGACUCUGCUUCUAUUUCACAAAAUACGGAAGAAAUGGAAGCGAUGAGAACAAAAAUUGAAGAGUUGACGCAACACUGUGCAGUUAGUGAUGCCAAAUUUGCCAAGUUUGAGGUGUUAUUCAAGAAGCAUAUGCAGCAAGCAUUUGAGGAUAGGGAAGAUAGUGAAUCAGAUGCUUAGAUUAUAUUGUAGUGGUUGGUUUUUGUUUAUCAUUGUGACAUUUAGACUUAAAUAAUUACAAUUGGUGUUUGUUUUGAAUUGUGACGUUUACACUUGUCUUGAAAUGCUUAAACUAUUUGAUUCCGCUAUUU